rnacentral:rRNA from 1 species
UGGGGAAUAUUGCACAAUGGGGGAAACCCUGAUGCAGCAACGCCGCGUGAAGGAAGACGGUUUUCGGAUUGUAAACUUCUGUUCUUAGUGAAGAAUAAUGACGGUAGCUAAGGAGCAAGCCACGGCUAACUACGUGCCAGCAGCCGCGGUAAUACGUAGGUGGCAAGCGUUGUCCGGAAUUACUGGGUGUAAAGGGAGCGCAGGCGGGAGACCAAGUCAGCUGUGAAAAACUACGGGCUUAACCUGUAGACUGCAGUUGAAACUGGUUUCUUGAGUGAAGUAGAGGUUGGCGGAAUUCCGAGUGUAGCGGUGAAAAUGCGUAGAUAUUCGGAGGAACACCGGUGGCGAAGGCGGCCAAACUGGGCUUUAAACUGACGCUGAGGCUCGAAAAGUGUGGGGAGCAAAACAGGAUUAGAUACC